rnacentral:lncRNA from 1 species
CGUUGUCUGGGGUCGACUCGGCACUUUCAGGGGACGUCUCGGCUUGUUUGCACUUUUUGAAUGGGGACGACUCCGCUGAUCUGGGGACGACUCCGCUUCUUUAUCUCCGAAGAACAUGUCCUCUGGUAUUUCCUGAGAGAGUCGACUCCGCUCCUUCAGGGGACGUCUCGGGUUGUCUGCACUUUAUGCAUGGGGACGACUCCGCUAUCUCAGGGUCGACUCCGCUUCCUUAUCACCCAAAAAACUAUUCUCUGGAAAACCCUGAGAGAACCGUCUCCGCUAUCUUGGGGACGACUCGGGAAGUCUCCUUUUUACUUGCGGGGACGACUCGGCUUACUGUGGGGACGUCUCGCGCAUAUCUCUUGAAAACUGCCUUUCUGCCGCCACUGAGAGAGUCGACUCCGCUACUGAGAGAGUUGACUCCGCUA